rnacentral:rRNA from 1 species
UUAAUUAAAAGUAUGUUAUAUUACUUAACACGAAGUUGGAGGAGCUAAUUAUUUCAUAUUUAUAGAUAUCAAUAUGUUGCAAAAUUUAGAAAGAAAUAAUUAGGAGUGAUAGGCUAAUCAUAUUCAACGAUAACUUGAUGGUUUAGAAAGGUAUAAAGUACAUAGGCAUUCUUAAAAUGAUAAGGUUUUAAAAGUGAACAAACGGUUAUUUUUAAUAUGUAUAGUGUUUAAUCACUAAUACAGAUAUAUUAUAAUAUUGAUUUAUUUUAUUUGUUAAUAUUAUAAACCAAUUUCACAACAAUAAUUAUAUAUAUAAUGUUAAUAUAAGUAUUAAAAAGAGAUAUAUAUAAUGAACUCGGCAAUAAGUCUUUCAACUGUUUAUCAAAAACGUAGCUGUGUGAAAUAAUACGCAGUGUUUUCUGCUCAAUGAAUAUUAAAUAGCCGCAGUACCCUGACUGUGCUAAGGUAGCGCAAUCAAUUGACUUUUAAUUGGAGUCCAGUAUGAAAGAAAUAAUGGAGGGCUACUUUCUUAUUUAUAAUCAUAGAAUUUACUUAUGAAGUGUAAAUUCUUCUAUAUUAUUAAUAGACGAGAAGACCCUAGAAAUUUUAUAGAAGUAACUUUUUGUUGGGGCAACAAAGUAGUAAUUAAAAUCUACUGUAAUAACAUGAAAGGUUUAUUUUGAAAGAUUAAAUUACUCUAGGGAUAACAGCAUAAUUAUUAAUAGUUUGUGACCUCGAUGUUGGAUUAGGGAAUUUACAUCAGAAG